rnacentral:rRNA from 1 species
AUUGAACGCUGGCGGCAGGCCUAACACAUGCAAGUCGAGCGGAUGAAGGUAGCUUGCUACCUGAUUCAGCGGCGGACGGGUGAGUAAUGCCUAGGAAUCUGCCUGGUAGUGGGGGACAACGUUUCGAAAGGAACGCUAAUACCGCAUACGUCCUACGGGAGAAAGUGGGGGAUCUUCGGACCUCACGCUAUCAGAUGAGCCCAGGUACGAUUAGCUAGUUGGUGAGGUAAAGGCUCACCAAGGCGACGAUCGUUAACUGGUCUGAGAGGAUGAUAAGUCACACUGGAACUGAGACACGGUCCAGACUCCUACGGGAGGCAGCAGUGGGGAAUAUUGGACAAUGGGCGAAAGCCUGAUCCAGCCAUGCCGCGUGUGUGAAGAAGGUCUUCGGAUUGUAAAGCACUUUAAGUUGGGAGGAAGGGCAGUAAGUUAAUACCUUGCUGUUUUGACGUUACCGACAGAAUAAGCACCGGCUAACUUCGUGCCAGCAGCCGCCGUAACAC